GAAUCGCUAGUAAUCGCGGAUCAGCAUGCCGCGGUGAAUACGUUCCCGGGCCUUGUACACACCGCCCGUCACACCAUGAGAGUUUGUAACACCCAAAGCCGGUGGGGUAACCUUUUGGAGCCAGCCGUCUAAGGUGGGACAGAUGAUUGGGGUGAAGUCGUAACAAGGUAAC
rnacentral:rRNA from 1 species